UAGGGAAUCUUCCACAAUGGGCGAAAGCCUGAUGGAGCAACGCCGCGUGUGUGAUGAAGGGUUUCGGCUCGUAAAACACUGUUGUAAGAGAAGAAUGAUAUUGAGAGUAACUGUUCAAUGUGUGACGGUAUCUUACCAGAAAGGAACGGCUAAAUACGUGCUAG
rnacentral:rRNA from 1 species